rnacentral:rRNA from 1 species
AUUGAACGCUGGCGGCAGGCCUAACACAUGCAAGUCGAGCGGAGCGGCGGACGGGUGAGUAAUGCCUAGGAAUCUGCCUGGUAGUGGGGGAUAACGUCCGGAAACGGGCGCUAAUACCGCAUACUAUCAGAAGAGCCGAGGUUGGAUAAGCUGGUGGGUGGGGUAAAGGCCUACCAAGGCGCCGAACCGUAACUGGUCUGAGAGGAUGAUCAGUCACACUGGAACUGAGAAACGGUCCAGACUCCUACGUGAGGCAGCAGUGGUGAAUAUUGGACAAUGGGCGAAAGCCUGAUCCAGCCAUGCCGCGUGUGUGAAGAAGGUCUUCGGAUUGUAAAGCACUUUAAGUUGGGAGGCGUUACCAACAGAAUAAGCACCGGCUAACUUCGUGCCAGCAGCCGCGGUAAUAC